rnacentral:tRNA from 1 species
CGCCGUCUUACUGGGGUGGCCGCCGCCGGGAGCUUCUUUCCGGGGAGCUGGUCCGCCGUGGUUUCGACCCGCGGAUCGGCGACC